GAUGAACGCUGGCGGCGUGCCUAAUACAUGCAAGUCGAGCGAACAGACGAGGAGCUUGCUCCUCUGACGUUAGCGGCGGACGGGUGAGUAACACGUGGAUAACCUACCUAUAAGACUGGGAUAACUUCGGGAAACCGGAGCUAAUACCGGAUAAUAUAUUGAACCGCAUGGUUCAAUAGUGAAAGACGGUUUUGCUGGCACUUAUAGAUGGAUCCGCGCCGCAUUAGCUAGUUGGUAAGGUAACGGCUUACCAAGGCAACGAUGCGUAGCCGACCUGAGAGGGUGAUCGGCCACACUGGAACUGAGACACGGUCCAGACUCCUACGGGAGGCAGCAGUAGGGAAUCUUCCGCAAUGGGCGAAAGCCUGACGGAGAAACGCCGCGUGAGUGAUGAGGGUCUUCGGAUCGUAAAACUCUGUUAUUAGGGAAGAACAAAUGUGUAAGUAACUAUGCACGUCUUGACGGUACCUAAUCAGAAAGCCACGGCUAACUACGUG
rnacentral:rRNA from 1 species